CAGCCACAUCACAUUGAAACAUCAGUUCUCAUACAAUCACUAAAGUUAAGCCUGUCAAAUCUGUUCAGUACCUAGAUGGGUGACCACUUGGGAAUACCAGGUGCUGUU